rnacentral:rRNA from 1 species
UACGUAGGGUGCAAGCGUUAAUCGGAAUUACUGGGCGUAAAGCGUGCGCAGGCGGCUUUGCAAGACAGAUGUGAAAUCCCCGGGCUAACCUGGGAACUGCAUUUGUGACUGCAUGGCUAGAGUACGGUAGAGGGGGAUGGAAUUCCGGCGUGUAGCAGUGAAAUGCGUAGAUAUGCGGAGGAACACCGAUGGCGGAAGGCAGUCCCCUGGACCUGUACUGACGCUCAUGCACGAAAGCGUGGGGAGCAAACGAGG